AAAUCAGUUUAUUAUGCUACUCCUCCCUAUCUCAAGAAUCUCCCCUGCCGGAGUUAGCUCCGUCACGCCUGAGUCAGUGGAGUUAAGCCAAAAUACCCAUUAUCAAACCUUCCCAACCCUCUUGUCCUCAUCUCCCUCAAUCUAACAAUGAUCUUUCCUAAAAUCCUAAGAAGCACAAAGCAAAAUUAAAUGAUGUUAAAGAGGAAUCAGAUCCUGAGACAUUAGGGUUUUGAUUCCUUGUAUUUGUAAUUACAUGGUGGUAAUAAGCUCAGUGCAAACCAAGGAAGAAUGAGGAAACUUACAUACAAGGUAGAGGUUAGCCCUGACGCUUGCACAAAUUGAAGAAGAUGAUGAUAAAUACCAAAGAAGACUAGAGGAAGCGAUUCAGGUUGAGGUCUUUUCUUACUGGGCUGGUUAUAUGACUUUAUGUGAAAGCUUGUGCAUGAAGCUUGGUUGGCAUUAUCAAGGUUUUUACAUGGCAUGAUCGAGGUUUGGCAAGGUAUCAUGGACAUGAAGAGGUUUUAGAAUGGCAUGAAAGACUUAAUGCUGCAAAUGGAGAAUCCAAGGUAAUGAAGAUCAAAGUAGGCUAGGGGAUGGUCAGUUUGACUUUGGUCAACUGUUUGACCAAAAGUCAACCUAGGUCCAAAUUAGGGGUUUCUUGUAUAGUUUUCACUUUUGACUUUUUUGUGAUGUAUUCUUUGUGUUUUGACCAUGAAUUGACCUUGUAUGGUUGUAACUUGUAUUCCAAGCAAUACAAAUGUUUUUCCCUCCA